GGUCGCUUAACUCAGUUGGUUAGAGUGUCGUACUAAUAUGUUCCAUUCGUGGGUAUCUCUGAAAUGCGAAAGUCGCCAGUUCGAUCCUGGUAGUGACCA